CUACGGGGUGCAGCAGUGAGGAAUAUUGCACAAUGGGGGAAACCCUGAUGCAGCAACGCCGCGUGGAGGAUGACGCAUUUCGGUGUGUAAACUCCUUUUAUGAGUCAAGAAAAUGACGGUAGCUCAUGAAUAAGCACCGGCUAACUCCGUGCCAGCAGCCGCGGUAAUACGGAGGGUGCAAGCGUUACUCGGAAUCACUGGGCGUAAAGGACGCGUAGGCGGGAUGUCAAGUCAGGUGUGAAAUCCUAUGGCUCAACCAUAGAACUGCACUUGAAACUGGCAACCUAGAGUAUGGGAGGGGGAGAUGGAAUUAGUGGUGUAGGGGUAAUAUCCGUAGAUAUCACUAGGAAUACCGAAAGCGAAGGCGAUCUCCUGGAACAUUACUGACGCUAAGGCGUGAAAGCGUGGGGAGCAAACAGGAUUAGAUACCCCCGUAGUC
rnacentral:rRNA from 1 species